UACGGGGGGGGCAAGCGUUGUUCGGAAUUACUGGGCGUAAAGGGCGCGUAGGCGGUGCUCUAAGUUAGAUGUGAAAACUCUGGGCUCAACCCAGAGCCUGCAUCUAAAACUGGAGUGCUAGAGUUCUGGAGGGGGUAGCGGAAUUCCUGGUGUAGCGGUGAAAUGCGCAGAUAUCAGGAAGAACACCAAUGGCGAAGGCAGCUCUCUGGGACGGUACUGACGCUGAGACGCGAAAGCGUGGGGAGCGAACAGG
rnacentral:rRNA from 1 species